ensembl:lncRNA
UUACUCAAGAUGACUAUAUGACUCAAUUCUGUUUUUUCAAAAAGGUUUUUCUUAUUUCUAGAUUCACAAAAAUUAGAUGAGAAGAAUGCCUAUGAUCUUCAAAUCUGAGUUCAUCUAUAUGUGGACCAUGGACAGAUUUAUGAAUUUUCAGACAAAGAAAAACUCUGUGAGAGCGCAUGCUGUACUUCUGAUUCCAGCAAAUGUGCACAGGAAGCCCACCCUCGGUAUCACAAUAGCACUCCAUGCUGAUGAUCACCAGAGUCCAGUGUUCAAUUUAGAGGCAAUGUCAAAACGAGCAACAAUCGAAGAGAAACCAGCCUGGAUUGAUUUAAAGAACGGGCCUGAAGGAACCUCUCAGAGUAUGUUUGUGUCUUUGUAUAACUGGAGCUGGCUUUCUGUAAAUGAGAUGCAAAAUGGAGGAAUUCAGGAAAUUCAUAUGGCAGUUUCAGUGCUGCGCAGGACUGCAUGUUUGAUCCCAGAGCUUAGCUUUUACAAAGAGCACAAAGAAAUAAAGUCCAAAAGCAAGCAUAUGCAGAGGGCCAUUUAA